rnacentral:rRNA from 1 species
UACAGAGGUCCCCAAAGCGUUUGUUCGGGAUUCACUGGGCGUAAAGGGUGCGUAGGUGGUUGGGUAAGUCUGAUGUGAAAUCUCCGGGCUCAACCCGGAAAUGGCAUUGGAUACUAUUCGGCUAGAGGUUUGGAGGGGGGACUGGAAUUCUCGGUGUAGCAGUGAAAUGCGUAGAUAUCGAGAGGAACACCAGUGGCGAAGGCGAGUCCCUGGACAACACCUGACACUGAGGCACGAAAGCUAGGGGAGCAAACAGG